rnacentral:rRNA from 1 species
UACGUAGGGUGCAAGCGUUGUCCGGAAUUAUUGGGCGUAAAGAGCUCGUAGGCGGUCUGUCACGUCGGCUGUGAAAACCCGGGGCUCAACCCCGGGCCUGCAGUCGAUACGGGCAGACUAGAGUGCGGUAGGGGAGACUGGAAUUCCUGGUGUAGCGGUGAAGUGCGCAGAUAUCAGGAGGAACACCGGUGGCGAAGGCGGGUCUCUGGGCCGUAACUGACGCUGAGGAGCGAAAGCGUGGGGAGCGAACAGG